rnacentral:lncRNA from 1 species
UAUUAGAAGUUACUCAUUUGUAGAAUUUGGCCAUUAUUGUACACUAUAUGAGUAUGCAAUGAAGUCCAGAUAAGUCAUGGCAAAAAUACAAAAAGAAGGAUGCGUUGUUAUGUGGAAAGACACAAGUGAAACCUAAACAUACAUUUCCUUUGUUUAAGGAUCUAGCUUUGAUGCAGAAAGCAGGAAAAAAAUAAUAAGCAGCUUAUCAAAGCUCCAACUGAAAUAAUUAUUCUCAGCUGGAAGUUAUGAAAAUAAUUCAUUUAAUAGAUGUGGAUCACUGAGAACAAAAGUGUCUGAUUACAUUAGGUAACAUGAUUUUUGUUCCUAGAUUAUCAAUGCCAUUUCCUAAUUGGUUCUAUCAUAAAAACACAAAAAAAGUUUAUUAAACCUCAAAAACUUUGUUUUUUUGGGACAUCCUGCAGCACAUUUUGCUAUAGUUUUUCAAUGAAUAUCUCUUCGAGUCUCAGUCAAUUCAACAUAGUUUAUGGCAGCCACAAAAAUGAUGUUUCUGGAAUAGUACUUUCAAAGUUAGUACUACACAAUAAAACUUUUUUUUUCAUGUCAGGAGUGACUUGAGAAACUGCAAGUCACUUCUGGAGUGAGAGAAUUGAUCGUCUGCAAGGACAUUGCCCAGGGGACGCCCGGAUAUUUUUGAUGUUUUACCAUCCUUGUGGGAGGCUUCUCUCAUGUCCCCGCAUGGAGCUGGAGAUUCGAACCUGGCAGCCUUCAGGUCAGCAACCCCACCUUCAAUUCACGAGGCUUUUAUCCCCUAGGCCACUGGAGGCUCCUGCCCUCUUAGGUAUUCUGGCCUGAUUCAGGCUAAAAAAACGUGAAAGGGCUGUGUGGACUGCUUCUUCAGAAGUCCCAGGAUUUCUGAGGAGGCAGUCCAGACAGCGGUCAUAGUGGGUUAGAAUUGGGUCUUUCAGAAAGACCUGGAACUUAUGCACUAUCAAAUUAUUUUGAAACAAAACAGGGUUUUCCUGCUUUGUCCCGAAGGAAUUCAUUUUUACGUGGGGCAUCAUUUGGACACCCAACUUAAAAACAUGGACACUCAUGCAUUUUAGACACUGAAUGUGCCCUAAAUGGGUAAUUCUGUCUGUCCAAAUAGAUCUCACAGCAGAGCAUUAGAUGGAUCAUCAAAGCAGAUUUGAAAGUGCUGGUGAUCAUGAGUAGGGAAAUGAAGGGUUUUAUUUAGGAAAAAGAAAUAAGAUGGAGGUCCCACUGCAUAAGUUAAUUGGCACUGACGUUGGAGUUUCCCCAUAAGCAAAGCAGUCGGAUGACUCAACAGUUCUCUUUCUCUCUGUGGUUUCGGUUUCUUGACAGAGCAAAUGAGAAGUCACUAUGCUAAAAUAUAAAUACAUUUAGGACAUUUUGAAAGCUACCAGAUAACUGCAGUAACUAUAAUAACAUCAUUAGACUAAACCACUGCUUCUUAAACUGUGGGUCCCAGCCCCAAAUGGGGUCCCCUUAGUUCAAUUUCGGGGUUCUGAAAAAUUUGGCAACAGUAAUGAGGAGCCCUGGUGGCGAAGUGCAUUAAAGCACUGAGGUGGAGACCGAAAGGUCCCAGGUUCAAACCCCGGGAGCGGCGUGAGCGGCCACUGUUAGCUCCAGCUCCUGCCAACCUAGCAGUUUGAAAACAUGCCAAUGUGAGUAGAUCAAUAGAUACCGCUCCGGUGGGAAGGUAACAGCGCUCCAUGCAGUCAUGCCGCCCAUAUGACCUUGGAGGGGUCUACGGACAGCGCCGGCCCUUCGGCUUGGAAAUGGAGAUGAGCACCAACCCCCAGAGUCAGACAUGACUGGAUUUAACAUCAGGGGAAACCUUUACCUUUACCUAAUGGGUUCCUAAAUACCACCUAGUGGCUGUUUUAGAUAGUUACAUGGAUCUGUUAGCAACACAGGACUUUGCAGAAAAUGCUUCAGCUGUACUUCAUGAAAAGAAAAAUCAGUUUUGUUAGCAAAUCUUGCAAAUGUGGGUUUAUUAUAAGUGAAUUUUGAUACUUAUUUUAUAUUUCUAUAUACCUGGGGUCACAUAAAAAAUUCUGAGAUGGGAAAAUUUUGUGAGUGAAAAAGGUUUAAGAAGCCCUGAGUACUGCUCUGAUCUAAACCAGGGAUUAGCAAUAUUUAGAUUGUGGCUCCAUGCACUCCACAAGACACUGUCCUUCAAUACC